UUCAGUGUUUAGGCUGCCUUAGUCAGUCCUGUCUGAGUUCAGAAGCUAAGCAAGGCUGGGCCCAGUUAAUUCUUGGAUGGAAGAACACCUGGGAAUACUAAGUGUUGUAGGUU
rnacentral:rRNA from 1 species